AGUCGAGCGCCCGCAUCGAGCGGCGGACGGGUGAGUAACGCGUGCGACGUGCCCUUUGCUACGGAAUAGUCUCGGGAAACUGGGGUAAUACCGUAUACGCACUAUUGAGGAAAGAUUUAUCGGCGAACGAUCGGCCCGCGUUGGAUUAGUAGUUGGUGGGGUAAUGGCUCACCAAGCCGACGAUCCAUAGCUGGUUUGAGAGGAUGAUCAGCCACACUGGGACUGAGACACGGCCCAGACUCCUACGGGAGGCAGCAGUGGGGAAUCUUAGACAAUGGGGGAAACCCUGAUCUAGCCCAUGCCGCGUGAGUGAUGAAGGCUUUAGGGUCGUAAAGCUCUUUCAGCUGGGGAAGAUAUAUUGACU
rnacentral:rRNA from 1 species